AUCAACUUUCGAUGGUAGGAUAGAGGCCUACCAUGGUGGUAACGGGUAACGGGGUGUUAGGGCACGACACCGGAGAGGGAGCCUGAGAAACGGCUACCACAUCCAAGGAUGGCAGCAGGCGCGCAAAUUACCCAAUCCCGACACGGGGAGGUAGUGACAAUAAAUAACAAUACGGGGUCCUUUCGGGUUUCGUAAUUGGAAUGAGUACAAUUUAAAUCUCUUAACGAGGAACAAUUGGAGGGCAAGUCUGGUGCCAGCGGCCGCGGUAAUUCCAGCUCCAAUAGCGUAUAUUAAAGUUGUUGCAGUUAAAAAGCUCGUAGUUGAAUUUCGGGAUCAGUUCGUCGGUCGUGCCUUUGGUAUGUACUGGUGUUACUGGUUCCUCCCUUCUGACGAACCGUCAUGUCAUUAAUUUGGUGUGGCGGGAAAUCAGGACUGUUACUUUGAAAAAAUUAGAGUGUUUAAAGCAGGCUCGCGCUUGAAUACAUUAGCAUGGAAUAAUGAAAUAGGACGUUCGAUCCUAUUUUGUUGGUUUCUAGGAUUGACGUAAUGAUUAAUAGGGAUAGUUGGGGGCAUUAGUAUUCAAUUGUCAGAGGUGAAAUUCUUGGAUUUAUUGAAGACUAACUACUGCGAAAGCAUUUGCCAAGGAUGUUUUCAUUAAUCAAGAACGAAAGUUAGGGGAUCGAAGACGAUCAGAUACCGUCGUAGUCUUAACCAUAAACUAUGCCGACUAGGGAUCGGAUGAUGUUAAUUUUUUAAUGACUCAUUCGGCGCCUUACGGGAAACCAAAGUGUUUGGGUUC
rnacentral:rRNA from 1 species